CCUACGGGAGGCAGCAGUGGGGAAUAUUGGACAAUGGGGGAAACCCUGAUGCAGCGAAGCAGCGUGAGUGAAGACGUAAUUCGUUAUGGAAAACUCUAUCUGUAGGGAAGAAAAAGACGGUACCUGAGUAAGAAGCUAAGGACAACUACGAGCCAGCAGCGGUGGUAAUACGUAGGGGGCAAGCGUUAUACGGAUUUACUGGGUGUAAAGGUGGCGUAGACGGCAGGGUAAGCUUGUAUUGAAAGGCGGUGGCUCAACCCCCGGACUGCUCUGGAAACUGUCUGGCUGGAGUGCGGGAGAGGUAAGCGGAAUUCCUGGUGUAGCGGUGAAAUGCUUAGAUAUUAGGAGGAACACCAGUGGCGAAGGCAGCUUACUGGACUGCUACUGACGUUGAAGCUCGAAAGCGUGGGUAGCAAACAGGAUUAGAUACCCUUGUAGUC
rnacentral:rRNA from 1 species